rnacentral:rRNA from 1 species
AUUGAACGCUGGCGGCAUGCCUUACACAUGCAAGUCGAACGGCAGCAUGGAGAGCUUGCUCUCUGAUGGCGAGUGGCGAACGGGUGAGUAAUGCAUCGGAACGUACCGUGUAAUGGGGGAUAACGUAGCGAAAGUUACGCUAAUACCGCAUACGACCUGAGGGUGAAAGCAGGGGAUCGCAAGACCUUGCGUUAUACGAGCGGCCGAUGUCAUAUUAGCUAGUUGGUGAGGUAAAGGCUCACCAAGGCGACGAUCCGUAGCGGGUCUGAGAGGAUGAUCGGCCACACUGGGACUGAGACACGGCCCAGACUCCUACGGGAGGCAGCAGUGGGGAAUUUUGGACAAUGGGGGCAACCCUGAUCCAGCCAUGCCGCGCGAGUGAAGAAGGCCUUCGGGUUGUAAAGCUCUUUCGGCCGGGAAGAAAUCGCACAGGCUAAUACUCUGUGUGGAUGACGGUACCGGCAUAAGAAGCACCGGCUAACUACGUGCCAGCCGCCGCGGUAA